rnacentral:rRNA from 1 species
CGGGUGCGUAACGCGUAUGCAACCUGCCCCCAGUCAGGGGGAAUAGACCCGGCCGAAAGGCGGAUUAACUGACCCCAUAGGCCCAGGGCGCCGCAUGGCGCUAUGGGUAAAGCUCCGGCGGAUGGGGAUGGGCAUGCGUGCCAUUAGCUAGUUGGGGCGGUAACGGCGCACCAAGGCGACGAUGGCUAGGGGGUCUGAGAGGAUGGUCCCCCACACUGGUACUGAGACACGGACCAGACUCCUACGGGAGGCAGCAGUGAGGAAUAUUGGUCAAUGGGCGGAAGCCUGAACCAGCCAUGCCGCGUGCAGGAUGACGGCCCUACGGGUUGUAAACUGCUUUUCCCCGGGAAGAAUAAGCCCCUCGUGAGGGGUGAUGCCGGUACCGGGGGAAUAAGGAUCGGCUAACUCCGUGCCAGCAGCGGC